GACGAACGCUGGCGGCGUGCUUAACACAUGCAAGUCGAACGGUGAAGCGCCUUCCUUUUUGGUGGGUGUGGAUGAGUGGCGAACGGGUGAGUAACACGUGAGUAACCUGCCCCCUUCUUCUGGAUAACCGCAUGAAAGUGUGGCUAAUACGGGAUAUUCUGGGUCUGUCGCAUGAUGGGUCUGGGAAAGAUAUUGUUUCGGUGGGGGAUGGGCUCGCGGCCUAUCAGCUUGUUGGUGGGGUGAUGGCCUACCAAGGCGGUGACGGGUAGCCGGCCUGGGAGGGUGGACGGUCACACUGGGACUGAGGCACGGCCCAGACUCCUACGGGAGGCAGCAGUGGGGAAUAUUGCACAGUGGGCGCAAGCCUGAUGCAGCGACGCCGCGUGAGGGAUGGAGGCCUUCGGGUUGUGAACCUCUUUCGCCAGUGAAGCAGGCCUGCCUCGUUUGUGGGUGGGUUGACGGUAGCUGGAUAAGAAGCGCCGGCUAACUACGUG
rnacentral:rRNA from 1 species